UAGAGUUUUGACUCCGGCUCACGGAGAACGCUGGCGGCGUGCCUAACACAUGCAAGUCGAACGAGAAUCUAUGGAAAGAGGGCUUCGGCCAAUUGAAGUAGAGGACAGUGGCGGACGGGUGAGUAACGCGUGAGCAACCUGCCUCGGAGUGGGGGACAACAGGGGGAAACCUCUGCUAAUACCGCAUAAUGUCAUUGGGUGGCAUCACUUAAUGACCAAAGAUUUAUUGCUCUGAGAUGGGCUCGCGUCUGAUUAGGUAGUUGGUGAGGUAACGGCUCACCAAGCCUACGAUCAGUAGCCGGGUUGAGAGACUGAACGGCCACAUUGGGACUGAGAUACGGCCCAGACUCCUACGGGAGGCAGCAGUGGGGAAUAUUGGGCAAUGGGCGAAAGCCUGACCCAGCAACGCCGCGUGAAGGAAGAAGGCUUUCGGGUUGUAAACUUCUUUUACCAGGGACGAAGGACGUGACGGUACCUGGAGAAAAGCUCCGGCUAACUACGUG
rnacentral:rRNA from 1 species